rnacentral:rRNA from 1 species
GGAUGAACGCUGGCGGCAUGCCUAAUACAUGCAAGUCGAACGGACGGAAGAGAAAAGCUUGCUUUUUUUGGAAGUCAGUGGCGAACGGGUGAGUAACACGUAGGUAACCUGCCCAUGUGCCCGGGAUAAUUUCUGGAAACGGAAACUAAAACCGGAUAGGUAGGGAUCUCGCAUGAGGACCUUAUUAAAGGGGCUACGGCCCUGAACAUGGAUGGACCUGCGGUGCAUUAGCUGGUUGGUGGGGUAACGGCCUACCAAGGCGACGAUGCAUAGCCGACCUGAGAGGGCGAACGGCCACAUUGGGACUGAGACACGGCCCAAACUCCUACGGGAGGCAGCAGUAGGGAAUUUUCGUCAAUGGGGGGAACCCUGAACGAGCAAUGCCGCGUGAGUGAAGACGGUUUUCGGACUGUAAAGCUCUGUUGUAAGAGAAAAACGGCCGACAUAGGGAAUGAUGUCGGAGUGAUGGUAUCUUACCAGAAAGUCACGGCUAACUACGUGCCA